rfam:Parcubacteria bacterium GW2011_GWA2_45_14 TW94_C0021, whole genome shotgun sequence.
UGAGAUAGGUGGACGGCUGCUCCGUCAAAAACGGAGAGGAAAGUCCGGACACCAUGUUAUUUAAUAACAUAUGAGUGGCAGAUAACGUCUGCCCAGCGUAACUUUCGCUUCGGCGAAAUGAAGCUGAGGGACCGAAAAUAGGGAUGGGAACGGUAAGCACACGUGUGUAUCGUUCGCUACCUUAAGUAGGCGAAGAGCGCAACAGAAACAUACCGCCUGGACCCUAUGUGGGUCUGUGGGUAAGGGUGAAAUCGCGGUGUAAGAGACCACGCGGCUGGUUAGUAAUAAUUGGCCGGGGCAAGCCCCUCUCGGUGCAACUCCAAGCAACUAUCAAUUUUUAUUGAUGGUAGGUGGGAGGCAAAAUUCACGGAGGUGAAUUUGAGGUGUGCUGCGAAGCAUGCCACAGAUAGAUGGUCGUCGCGGUUGGCGUUAAGUUGACCGUACAGAAUCCGGCUUAUAGCCUGUCUCAGUAA